rnacentral:lncRNA from 1 species
AAUAUUUACUACUUCCAGCCUCAUAAUCCUGCAGUCAUUUGGCACCUCUGAAGCCUUGGGGAGCACUGAAGCCAAGGCUGCACCGUACCAAAAAUUUGAAACAUGUGAAUGAGCUGAAUGUGGAAGGACUACCGGAAAACACUCCUUUCAGAAUCCCCUCAUUGCAUGAAAUCCCAAGGCUCGAAAACAUCUUUCAAGUGAGCAAUUGAAUUAAGUUUGUUAUUAAGAGCUUGGUGAAAGGUAGAAGUUACACGUGAGAAGGCGGUGGAGCCAGGCACAUGAUGGAGCCUCGAAGAGUGGAAGGUGGCACCUGGCUCUGUGAGGAGGGUGUGAAGUCCUCCAUGGGAGGAAGAGAUGCCAGCAAAGGAGUAACUCCAGUUAGCCUCCAUUGUCUCCAAGCCGGCUUUUGUCCUCAUCCACAACGCCUCCACACAAGCUCUGAACACCUGUCCAUGUAAAAAUAUCAAGAAAUGCUGAGGCCCAUGUCCCAGAACAACAGUCCUUUAGGUGGAUCACACAUUCUCCACUACACCAAGCUCUACUCACAGGUUGGAGACACGCUUUUUGCAGAAUAUAUGAAGGAACAUUUUGGAACCCAUUGAGGACUAUGUGGAAAAACCAAAUAUCCCUAGAAAAAAACAAGUUGGAAAGACUCGUUUUGUAGAAUCUGUGAAGGGAAAAUCAAACCCCUUUGAGGCCUAUGGGGAAAAACCAAAUAUCUCCAGAUAAAAACUAGAAAGAAGCUAUCUGUGAAACUGCUUUGUGAUGUGUGGAUUCAUCUCACAGAAUUAAACCUUUCUUUUGAUUCAA